GGGUUUUAUCAACAGAAAAGGCGAAGAAAGCGACGCUUUUGUCUGUAGGCAUGACCCCCUCGUGGUGAGAUUUUUCAAAGAUAAGGGAAGAGAGAGAGGGGACCCACGUUUUUUAUGAAGCAAUAAAGUUGGUAUGUCUCUUCCACUCUCGCUUUGAUUUCAUGCUUGUCCUCAUUUUCACUCCCCCUCCAUUCAUCUCUGCCAUUGCUUUUGCAUAUCAUUGCCUCAUCUUGCG
rnacentral:lncRNA from 1 species